rnacentral:rRNA from 1 species
GGCUGUUUCAMUUCCCGACCCGCGCCCGCCAAUAGCCCCUUCAAACUCGUCGAAUAGUGACAUCUGAGUUGCGAAGUCAAUAAGCUAAAACUUUCAACAACGGAUCUCUUGGUUCCGGCAUCGAUGAAGAACGCAGCGAAAUGCGAUAAGUAAUGCGAAUUGCAGAAUUCCGCGAGUCAUCGAAUCUUUGAACGCACAUUGCGCCCUUGGGCACUCCGAAGGGCAUGCCUGUUCGAGCGUCAUUAUCAAACCUCAAGCCCGGCUUGCAGUUGGGAUCCACCAUGGUGAACCAUGGCGGACUCAAAAGGCAAUGACGGUGCCUGCGGGGCCUUGGGAUGUAACGAGCUUUCCAGCAUGCACCUGCAGCCCUCCAGCGUCGUCUCAACCAAUCUUUUGGACAUUGACCUCGGAUCAGGCAGGAAUACCCGCUGAACUUUAAGCAUACCCCG